rnacentral:rRNA from 1 species
AUUGAACGCUGGCGGCAGGCCUAACACAUGCAAGUCGAGCGGCAGCGGGACCUUCGGGUUGCCGGCGAGCGGCGGACGGGUGAGUAAUGCCUAGGAAUCUGCCUGUUAGUGGGGGAUAACGCGGGGAAACUCGCGCUAAUACCGCAUACGUCCUACGGGAGAAAGCGGGGGCUCUUCGGACCUCGCGCUAACAGAUGAGCCUAGGUCGGAUUAGCUAGUUGGUGGGGUAAUGGCCCACCAAGGCGACGAUCCGUAACUGGUCUGAGAGGAUGAUCAGUCGCACUGGAACUGAGACACGGUCCAGACUCCUACGGGAGGCAGCAGUGGGGAAUAUUGGACAAUGGGCGAAAGCCUGAUCCAGCCAUGCCGCGUGUGUGAAGAAGGUCUUCGGAUUGUAAAGCACUUUAAGUCGGGAGGAAGGACUGUAGGCUAAUACCUUGCAGUUUUGACGUUACCGACAGAAUAAGCACCGGCUAACUUCGUGCCAGCCGCCGCCGUAAAAC